rnacentral:rRNA from 1 species
GACGAACGCUGGCGGCGUGCCUAAUACAUGCAAGUCGAACGCAUUUUCUUUCACCGUAGCUUGCUACACCGAAAGAAAAUGAGUGGCGAACGGGUGAGUAACACGUGGGUAACCUGCCCAUCAGCGGGGGAUAACACUUGGAAACAGGUGCUAAUACCGCAUAAUUUCAUUUACCGCAUGGUAGAUGGAUGAAAGGCGCUUUUGCGUCACUGAUGGAUGGACCCGCGGUGCAUUAGCUAGUUGGUGGGGUAACGGCCUACCAAGGCUGCGAUGCAUAGCCGACCUGAGAGGGUGAUCGGCCACACUGGGACUGAGACACGGCCCAGACUCCUACGGGAGGCAGCAGUAGGGAAUCUUCGGCAAUGGACACAAGUCUGACCGAGCAACGCCGCGUGAGUGAAGAAGGUUUUCGGAUCGUAAAACUCUGUUGUUAGAGAAGAACAAGGAUGAGAGUGGAAAGUUCAUCCCUUGACGGUAUCUAACCAGAAAGCCACGGCUAACUACGUG